rnacentral:misc_RNA from 1 species
GAUGAAGAACGUAGCGAAAUGCGAUAAGUAAUGUGAAUUGCAGAAUUCAGUGAAUCAUCGAAUCUUUGAACGCACAUUGCGCCCAUUAGUAUUCUAGUGGGCAUGCCUGUUCGAGCGUCAUUUCAACCCUUAAGCCUAGCUUAGUGUUGGGAAUCUGCUGUAUUGCAGUUCCUCAAAUACAACGGCGGAUCUGUAACAUCCUCUGAGCGUAGUAAAUUUUUAUCUCGCUUUUGUUAGGUGUUGCAGCUCUCAGCCGCUAAACCCCCCAAUUUUUGUGGUUGACCUCGGAUCAGGUAGGAACACCCGCUGAACUUAAGCAUAUCAAUAAGCGGAGGA